AUUGCGCAGAAUUUGUGAGCUUCACAAUUUCUAACGAGUGUAGUCUUGGGAGGAUCUUGAUUUUACGCGCUUUUUAGCUGCGGACCUUACGGUUUAUAAAAUCACGCUCGUUGAAAAUGGCAGGACUUUUGUCCUGCCAUUUUUA
rnacentral:sRNA from 1 species